GACGAACGCUGGCGGCGUGCCUAAUACAUGCAAGUAGAACGCAGUUGCGAACGGGUGAGUAACGCGUAGGUAACUGCCUCAUAGCGGGGGAUAACUAUUUGGAACGAUAGGCAAAACCGCAUACUGUGAGAUGGACCUGCGUUGCAUUAGGUAGUUGGUGGGGUAAAGGUUCACCAAGGCGACGAUACAUAGCCGGACUGAGAGGGGGGUCGGCCACACUUGGACUGGGACACGGGCCAAGCUCCUUCGGGGAGGAGCAGUAGGGGAUCUUCGGCAAUGGACGGAAGUCUGACCGAAGAACGCCGGGGGGGUGGAGAAGGGUUUCGGGUCGGAAAGCUCUGUUGUUAGAGGAGCGGUAACUAACCAGAAAGGGACGGCUAACUACGUGCCAGCAGCCGCGGUAAUAC
rnacentral:rRNA from 1 species